rnacentral:rRNA from 1 species
GACAGAGAGUGCAAACGUUGUUCGGAUUUACUGGGCGUAAAGCGCGUGUAGGCGGCUUUGCAAGUCGGAUGUGAAAUCCCACGGCUCAACCGUGGAAGUGCAUCCGAAACUGCAUCGCUGGAGUCUCGGAGAGGAAGGUGGAAUGCUUGGUGUAGAGGUGAAAUUCGUAGAUAUCAAGCAGAACACCUGCGGCGAAGGCGGCCUUCUGGACGAUGACUGACGCUGAGACGCGAAAGCGUGGGGAGCAAACAGG